GAUGAACGCUGGCGGUAUGCUUUACACAUGCAAGUCGUACGAGAGUUUUUAACUCAAGUGGCGGACGGGUGAGUAACACGUAAGAAUUUGCCUUUAGGAGGGGGAUAACAAGUGGGCGAAAGCCUUACUCCUGGAAACAGUUGCUAAUACCCCAUAUGCUUUCGAGUGAAAUGGAUUUUUCCGCCUAGAGAGAAGCUUGCGGCUGAUUAGCUUGUUGGUAAGGUAAUGGCUUACCAAGGCGACGAUCAGUAUCUGGUUUGAGAGGACGAUCAGACACACUGGAACUGAGACACGGUCCAGACUCCUACGGGAGGCAGCAGUGGGGAAUUUUCCGCAAUGGGCGAAAGCCUGACGGAGCAAUACCGCGUGAGGGAUGACGGCCUAUGGGUUGUAAACCUCUUUUUUCAGGGAGGAAACAAAUGACGUUACCUGAAGAAUAAGCAUCGGCUAACUCCGUGCCAGCAGCCGCGGUAAGACGGAGGAUGCAAGUGUUAUCCGGAAUCACUGGGCGCAAAGCGUCUGUAGGUGGUUACUAAGUCAACUGUUAAAUCUUGAGGCUCAACCCCGAAACCGCAGUCGAAACUAGUAGAC
rnacentral:rRNA from 1 species